AACGAACGCUGGCGGCGUGGAUUAGGCAUGCAAGUCGAACGCGAAAGAGGGAGCAAUCCCUCAAGUAGAGUGGCGAACGGGUGAGUAACGCGUGAAGAACCUGCCUUCAACAGGGGGAUAACACUCCAACGGGGUGCUAAUACCGCAUGAGACCACGGGUCCGCAUGGACCUGAGGUCAAAGGUGGCCUCUGCUUGCAAGCUACCGGUUGAAGAUGGCUUCGCGUCCCAUAGCUAGUUGGCGGUGUAAAAGACCACCAAGGCGACGAUGGGUAGCUGGUCUGAGAGGAUGGUCAGCCACACUGGGACUGAGAUACGGCCCAGACUCCUACGGGAGGCAGCAGUCGAGAGGCUUUGGCAAUGGGGAAACCCUGACCAAGCGACGCCGCGUGGAGGAUGAAGGCCCUUGGGUUGUAAACUCCUUUUGUCGGGGAAGAAAUGCGAUCAGGUAAACAAUCUGGUCGUUUGACGGUACCCGGCGAAUAAGCUCCGGCUAACUCCGUGCCAGCCGCCGCC
rnacentral:rRNA from 1 species